rnacentral:rRNA from 1 species
CAGCCGCCGCGGGAAAACGUAGGUGGCAAGCGUUGUCCGGAAUUAUUGGACGUAAAGGGCUCGCAGGCGGUUUCUUAAGUCUGAUGUGAAAGCCCCCGGCUCAACCGGGGAGGGUCAUUGGAAACUGGGAAACUUGAGUGCAGAAGAGGAGAGUGGAAUUCCACGUGUAGCGGUGAAAUGCGUAGAGAUGUGGAGGAACACCAGUGGCGAAGGCGACUCUCUGGUCUGUAACUGACGCUGAGGAGCGAAAGCGUGGGGAGCGAACAGGAUUAGAUACCCCAGUAGUCCCUGUCUCUUAUAC